UACGGGGGGAGCAAGCGUUGUUCGGAUUACUGGCGUAAAGAGCUCGUAGGCGGCUUGUCGCGUCGACUGUGAAAACUCGGGGCUCAACUCCGAGCUUGCAGUCGAUACGGGCAGGCUAGAGUUCGGUAGGGGAGACUGGAAUCCUGGUGUAGCGGUGAAAUGCGCAGAUAUCAGGAGGAACACCGGUGGCGAAGGCGGCUCUCUGGGACGGUACUGACGCUGAGACGCGAAAGCGUGGGGAGCAACAGG
rnacentral:rRNA from 1 species